UCCUUCUCUCCUCCCUAGGGUGCUCCAUUCCCAGCUCCGGCUCUCCAACAUCCAGGCACCGCAGGCGCGGGAGCAAGUGGUCCCUGGCUUCUGGGUCUUCCCAGGAGUUGAGAUCUGAGAUAAGCAACCAACAGAGAGAGAGUAAGAAAGAGCCCUGUGACUGCAAGUGGGGGCAAGGCGGAAGCAGGGGGACCUGGGAGACAGCUGCAACAGCUCAG